GCACGAAAGUUAGCCGGGGCUUCUUCUCCCGCUACAGUCAUUAUCUUCGCGGGCGAAAGAGCUUUACAACCCUAAGGCCUUCAUCACUCACGCGGCAUGGCUGGAUCAGGGUUGCCCCCAUUGUCCAAUAUUCCCCA
rnacentral:rRNA from 1 species